ACCCGCUGCCUCACAGGGGAUGAAACACCAGAGUGCCAUGCAACUAAUACCAGAGACUUUAAUUCUUAUUUUUAAACACCUAAGUGAAGUGACGACCCUGAAUUGAAGUCUCUACAAAAUAUACAUCACCUUCCAAUGUCAGGUAAGAAAGUUUAUGCUAAACUUUACCUUUGGAAAAUACACUUCUCUUAGAUGGAAUUCAUUAGCUCC
rnacentral:lncRNA from 1 species